CGGGGUGUAGCGCAGCUUGGUAGCGCGCGUCGUUCGGGACGACGAGGUCGCAGGUUCAAAUCCUGUCACCCCGACCA
rnacentral:tRNA from 4 species